AUAUCAAUAAGCGGAGGAAAAGAAACCAACAGGGAUUGCCCUAGUAACGGCGAGUGAAGCGGCAACAGCUCAAAUUUGAAAUCUGGCUUCGGCCCGAGUUGUAAUUUGUAGAGGAUGCUUUUGGUGAGGUGCCUUCUGAGUUCCCUGGAACGGGACGCCAGAGAGGGUGAGAGCCCCGUAUAGUCGGCCACCGAUCCUCUGUAAAGCUCCUUCGACGAGUCGAGUAGUUUGGGAAUGCUGCUCAAAAUGGGAGGUAUAUCUCUUCUAAAGCUAAAUAUAGGCCAGAGACCGAUAGCGCACAAGUAGAGUGAUCGAAAGAUGAAAAGCACUUUGAAAAGAGGGUUAAAUAGCAC
rnacentral:rRNA from 1 species